rnacentral:rRNA from 1 species
UACGUAGGGGGCAAGCGUUGUCCGGAUUUAUUGGGCGUAAAAAGCGUGUAGGCGGCCAGACAGGUCCGUUGUGAAAACUCGAGGCUCAACCUCGAGACGUCGAUGGAAACCGUCUGGCUAGAGUCCGGAAGAGGAGAGUGGAAUUCCUGGUGUAGCGGUGAAAUGCGCAGAUAUCAGGAAGAACACCUAUGGCGAAGGCAGCUCUCUGGGACGGUACUGACGCUGAGACGCGAAAGCGUGGGAGCGAACAGG